GUGCACGAUGCUUUUCAACUCUGUCUUCAGGGACUUCAGGAGCACUGCUUAAAACCGGCCUUGGUGAGGAGGGAUUUAUUUCAUUUGCUCCUGAAGUUAAAUCUCAUGAAAUCAUGUGAAAUUCAGUGAUGUGUUACUGGGAACAAAAAGGGUUACGUUAUUAAUUGUGAUGCCUUCCCACAAGAGCUGUGUCUGUACUGUGCCACAUAACCCCUGAAGCUGAAUAAAGAACUUUCUCCUUGAUUCCCCCAGCCCUCCAAAAACAUCAGCAGGUGAUGAGGUCCCAUUGUAAAUGACCCAAGGACAAACAGCUCAUGACUUCAAAGGAGGCCUCUUCAACCCAGGGCAAAUUCAGGCCUUCAUUCCAGGGGUCUGUAAGCAAGUACUGAGUGAAGAGAUAUCCUAAAAUCAAUCGUUCCUCUUUGCCAACCCUGGAUAAUGGCAACAACUUCUUUAGUGGCAUGCUGCAUGCUCUGUUUGGUCAUGUCCAGAGAUACCCAAGAUAAAGAAGUUUGAUAAAUAUACACAUUAACUCAGCAAAAAUAACAUGGUUAUUUUCAUGAAUAUUGCACUUGGGCACAUCAGCAAAAUUCAAAAGUGAUAAAAGGAGUUGGUGACACUUACCAGAAUGGGUCCUGAGGUGUCCUGUGAGGGCGUCCCUUCUUCUACAGGCGUA
rnacentral:lncRNA from 1 species